rnacentral:rRNA from 1 species
UGCCAGCCGCCGCGGUAAUACGGGAGGGGCAAGCGUUAUCCGAAAUGACUGGGCGUAAAGCGUACGUAGGCGGAUUAAUAAGUUAGAGGUGAAAUCCUAGGGCUCAACCCUGGAACUGCCUUUAAAACUGUUAGUCUUGAGAUCGAGAGAGGUGAGUGGAAUUCCAAGUGUAGAGGUGAAAUUCGUAGAUAUUUGGAGGAACACCAGUGGCGAAGGCGGCUCACUGGCUCGAUACUGACGCUGAGGUACGAAAGUGUGGGGAGCAAACAGGAUUAGAUA